rnacentral:lncRNA from 1 species
UACUAUGUAGGCAUUACUUGAUGGCAGCAAUAAACAGUGUCCUACGUGGUAUGAUGAAGUCCUUCCUAGAAAAUAUUCUUGGUCAAGUGAGUUAUCGAGUCUUGUAUUGUUUCCUCCUCUGCCUUUUUGAUCCACUUUUCAUGUAUUUUCCAUGUAAAAAUAAUUUUAUGUGGUUGUUUCAGGGAUACUGGAAGAGGGGGUGUUGACUGUUGAGGUCAUAAAAAUAAACUUCACUAUCUGAAUUGAUAAAGUUGAAAUUUGGCCUUACUUCAUGCAUUAUAGUUUACAUUUUCAUAGAGGAUUUCACUUUCAUUACCAGUGUUGAUGCUUUAUUUAGCAUCACCUGGGAUAUUUCACGUUCAUGUAUUUUGGUCUACUACUACAUACUCCCUCCGUCUCAAAAUUCUUG